rfam:Ictidomys tridecemlineatus contig023258, whole genome shotgun sequence.
GUACUCUGGUUUCUUUUAAGAUCAUAUGAGUCUUUUGCCUUUUACUAAAGAUUUCUAUGGAGAGGAAAAAUUCUGGGGAAAAACAAACAAAUGUGUAUUUAACCAUGAGUGGUGAUU